UACAGUUCGGGCACGGAAGUGACAGUUGAGCGGCUUGGGCCAUCAGAUAUUGUGGUAGAGCGUCUACUGGAGGGUGUACGACAACAUCCAUGUGUGUUUGACACGAAGAGGAUGGACUAUAGGGAAUCACAAAGAAAGAGAAACGCCUGGAAAAUAAUAAGACAACAAUGUGGCCUCGCCACAGUUGAAGAAUGUCAUAAGCUGUGGAAGCGCCUAAGAGAUCGGUACUCCAGAGAGAUCAAGGCAAUGGAGGUGAUGAAACGAAGUGGAAAUGCGUUUGUUUCCAGGCGUGCCUGGGAAUUUUUCGAGGCUAUGGCCUAUUAUAAAGACUGUGGACGUCCGAGAAAGACAACAUGCAAUCUGGAUGGCUCAUCUACACUCGAAGAGAAUCCUGGAAACGACGAUUCCAGCGGCACUGCAGAAAGCAUUUUCGAGUCUAUGGUGUCGAGAUCAUCAACAUCAUCCUGCACAACGUCUACCCAGGGGGAUUCCCUUAUACCAACCGUCACGAUGGCAACGGACAGAGGAGAACAGAGACCGGUCCAGUCAGGUCAGCUGCCAGAAAACAGAGUGAACAAGCGAAAAGAAUCAGACACUUUUGAACAAGACCUGCUGAAACACCUAGACAAAAGGAUGUCGGAGAAUGAGGCAUUCGCCCUAUCUGUAGGGAUGACCUUGGACAGGCUGUCGAAGCCAACCGCGGCAGAAUGCAAAGCAAAAAUGAUGUUGCUUUUU